CUGAGCAUCAGCCAUCACGCAAAAUUUACAGUCUCUACCUGAGUCCCAACAAGUUUUUACUUGUUUGUACUAGGAGCACGCCGAAUCUUCCUAAUGGGUAUUCUACUAGUUGCAGGAAGUUCCAUUCUAUUUGAGCCUUUGGAACUGCGGAAAUUUUAACAUCAUCGCUCGCGAUCGCCACCCACGAGUUCCGAGACAAAGUGGCGUUUGCCUUUG